rnacentral:rRNA from 1 species
UACGGGGGGGCAAGCGUUGUUCGGAAUUACUGGGCGUAAAGGGUUUGUAGGUGGCCGGCUAAGUCAGACGUGAAAUCCCUCAGCUUAACUGGGGAACUGCGUCUGAAACUGAUCGGCUCGAGUGCAGGAGAGGAACGCGGAAUUCCAGGUGUAGCGGUGAAAUGCGUAGAUAUCUGGAGGAACACCGGUGGCGAAGGCGGCGUUCUGGACUGCAACUGACACUGUAAAACGAAAGCCAGGGGAGCAAACGGG